rnacentral:rRNA from 1 species
UACGGGGGGAGCAAGCGUUGUUCGGAUUUAUUGGGCGUAAAGAGCUCGUAGGCGGCUUGUCACGUCGACUGUGAAAACCCGGGGCUCAACUCCGGGCCUGCAGUCGAUACGGGCUGGCUUGAGUGCGGUAGGGGAGACUGGAAUUCCUGGUGUAGCGGUGAAAUGCGCAGAUAUCAGGAGGAACACCGGUGGCGAAGGCGGAUCGCUGGGCCUGGUCUGACGCUGAGGCGCGAAAGCUAGGGGAGCGAACGGG